rnacentral:rRNA from 1 species
UACGUAGGCAGCAAGCGUUGUUCGGAAUUACUGGGCGUAAAGAGUGUGUAGGCGGUGUUCUAAGUUCGGUGUGAAAUCUCCUGGCUCAACUGGGAGGGUGCGCCGAAAACUGGGAUGCUCGAGCGUGGGAGAGGAAAGCGGAAUUCCUGGUGUAGCGGUGAAAUGCGUAGAUAUCAGGAGGAACACCAGCGGUGUAGACGGCUCACUGGACCGGUACUGACGCUGAUGCGCGAAAGCGUGGGGAGCAAACGGG